AAUGGAAAUGAAAAUGUUUUAUUUUAUAAAUAAAGUUGAUUAACAAGAUAUUUUGGUAACCAUCCUUUUAAGUAUAAGAAUACCUGGUGAUGGUGCAACUCAA